UUAGAAAUGACUGCUAAUACCGGAUGAUGUCGUAAGACCAAGAUUUAUCGGCAAAGGAUGAGCCCGCGUAGGAUUAGGUAGUUGUGGGUAAAGGCCUACCAAGCCGACGAUCCUUAGCUGGUCUGAGAGGAUGAUCAGCCACACUGGGACUGAGACACGGCCCAGACUCCUACGGGAGGCAGCAGUGGGGAAUAUUGGACAAUGGGCGAAAGCCUGAUCCAGCAAUGCCGCGUGAGUGAUGAAGGCCUUCGGGUUGUAAAGCUCUUUUACCAGGGAUGAUAAUGACAGUACCUGGAGAAUAAGCUCCGGCUAACUCCGUG
rnacentral:rRNA from 1 species